rfam:Tupaia belangeri cont1.688536, whole genome shotgun sequence.
ACAGCUUUGGACAAAAGUCUAUAGCCAGUGCAUUUGAAACUCCCCUUGCACAAGGACUGACUGUAGCUGUGGGAAGACAUUUUCCUCAUUUGCUCUCUCCUUGCAGCAGUCAGCUGGUCCCUCUUCUCAGGUGUAAAUCACCUAUUAUAAUUUCCCCCAGUUUUGAUACUCUGAUGAGGAGCGUCCCAGGACUUCUCAGCUGGGGUAGGCCUCACAGGACAGCUGU